CAUAUGAUACUGAUAUUGUGACUUAAUUAGUCCCUUAGGCUGCGUUUGGUUCGGGUAUAAGUAAGAACUGCUAGUUCUAGGGAUAGGUACAAGUUCAGGUAUAAGCAGGAACUAGACCAAUUUUGUGUUUGGAUGAAAAUUGGGUUGUUCCUAGGAAUAAGGUAAAUAGUGUUUGGAUGAUUAGAUUGGAACAAGAGGAAUAAAUGUUAUAAUUUGAAAUUAAAAUUAUAUUAUGUAAUUAAUUAACAUAAAAAAAUUACUUAAAAAUAAAUAAAAAAUUAAUUAUUAACAAUUAAUUAUAAAUAAUAAUUAAUAAUAAUAAUUAAUUAUAAAUAAUAAAUUAUUAAUAACGAUUAUCUAAUUAAUAAUAAUUAUUAUUAUUAUUAAUUAUUAAUAAAUAAUAAUAAUUAUUAAUUAUUCUUAUUAAUUAAUUAUAAAUAAUAAAUUAUUAAUAAUAUUGAUUAUCUAAUUAUUAAUAAUAAUUAAUAUUAAUAUUUAUUAAUAAAUAAUAAUAAUAAUUAUUAAUAAUUAAUUAUAAAUAAUAAAUUAAUAAUAACAUCGAUUAUCUAAUUAUUAAGAAUAAUAAUUAUUAAUUAAUUAUUAAUAAAUAAUAAUAUUAAUUAUUAAUUAUUAAUUAUAAAUAAUAUAUUAAUAAUAAUAUCGAUUAUCAUUAAGAAUAAUAUUUAUUAAUAAUGAAUAAUAAUUAUUAAUAAAAAAUUAAUAAAUAUUAUUAAUUAUUAAUUAUUAAUUAUAAAUAAUAAAUUAAUAAUAAUUAUUAUCUAAUUAUUAAUAAGUAAUUAUAAAUAAUAAAUUAUUUAAUUAUUUAAUUAUUAAAAUAAUAAUUUAAAUAUAUUAAUUAGAUUAAUUAAUAAUUUACUGCCAUUAAAAUUAAAUUUAAAUUUUAAUUAAUUUUGUUCUCAUCAAGGAACAAGCUUGUUCCAGGAAACGGGUGGAACAGCAGUUCCAGCCUUAUUCCAGCUAGUUCCAGAUUUCCGGGAACUACUGUUCCCGGAAGCCAAACAUAGCGUUUGGGAACAAAGGAGGGAACAAGGGCU
rnacentral:lncRNA from 1 species